UUUUGUUUUAUUGAGUAAUAAUUUUUUUUCUUUUUUUUUUAACUGUAAUAAAUGUUUGAUAUCUAUAUUUUAAAGCAAAUGUCACUGUUUCUUAUAUUUUACCCAGUUUUUUGUAGAUUUUUCAUGUUUGGUGGACAGAGUAAUAGAAAAGAAUUGGGUUGCUUUAGUUUCAUCCGGUGAUAAAUUAGGUUACUAUAUUAAGUGAUUAAAUGUAAGUGUAAUGGUGUCUAUUGCAUAAAUUUUCUGUGUAUAGAUGUAUUUGCAUGUGUUUUAUCCCUUUUUUUUCUCUUUUAAAGGAAAUGUAAGUGUGUUUGUUUGAGUAACAUUUACUUACUACAUAUGAUUCUUUGAGGCCAAGUUUAUCCAUUUCCCUCCAUCAUAUAUAUAAAAUUUUAAAUCAUUUUAUUGUGUUGAAAUGACUUUAAUUCCUUUUAUCAUUUAGGAUAUAUAUGUGUGCAUUCCUAAAAUUUUUAUUCCUUAAAGAGAUAAGAUACUCUAAGGAGUACUUGGGUACUUUAAAGAGUACUUGGCUAUUCUAAAGAGGUCUUCUUGCGGAAGGAGAAAACAUUCAGUCAAGGCAGAAGAAGAAGGGGCAGUAGUUCGAAAUUGGCCGGUCUUCUUGCAGAAGGGAAACGAAUCGGCCAAGGUAGAAGAAGAAGGGGAGGCAGUUGGAAGUUGGCUGGUGACUCUUCAAAGGUUAGUAUAAAUUAGAAUCUCCAAUACAUGAUUAUUUUGUGCACCCCUGAUUUUAAAGUCCAAAACUUUCC